CUGCAGUCGACGGUGACGACGGGGCUUGCUCUGUCUGAUCAGUGGCGAACGGGUGAGUAACACGUGAGUAACCUGCCCCCGACUCUGGAAUAACCGUGGGAAACGACGGCUAAUACCGGAUAUGAGACGCACGGGCAUCUGUGUGUCUGGAAAGAUUUAUCGGUCAGGGAUGGACUCGCGGCCUAUCAGCUUGUUGGUGGGGUAAUGGCCCACCAAGGCGACGACGGGUAGCCGGCCUGAGAGGGCGACCGGCCACACUGGGACUGAGAUACGGCCCAGACUCCUACGGGAGGCAGCAGUGGGGAAUAUUGCACAAUGGGCGCAAGCCUGAUGCAGCGACGCCGCGUGAGGGAUGAAGGCCUUCGGGUUGUAAACCUCUUUCAGCAGGGAAGAAGCGAAAGUGACGGUACCUGCAGAAGAAGCGCCGGCUAACUACGUGCCAGCAGCCGCGGUAAUACGUAGGGCGCAAGCGUUGUCCGGAAUUAUUGGGCGUAAAGAGCUCGUAGGCGGUUUGUCGCGUCUGCUGUGAAAACCUGAGGCUCAACCUCGGGCUUGCAGUGGGUACGGGCAGACUAGAGUGCGGUAGGGGUGACUGGAAUUCCUGGUGUAGCGGUGGAAUGCGCAGAUAUCAGGAGGAACACCGAUGGCGAAGGCAGGUCACUGGGCCGCAACUGACGCUGAGGAGCGAAAGCAUGGGGAGCGAACAGGAUUAGAUACCCUGGUAGUCCAUGCCGUAAACGUUGGGCACUAGGUGUGGGGCUCAUUCCACGAGUUCCGUGCCGCAGCAAACGCAUUAAGUGCCCCGCCUGGGGAGUACGG
rnacentral:rRNA from 1 species